rnacentral:rRNA from 1 species
GAUGAACGCUGGCGGCGUGCUUAACACAUGCAAGUCGAACGAAGCACUUUGGAAAGCUUGCUUUCUAAAGUGACUGAGUGGCGGACGGGUGAGUAACGCGUGGGUAACCUGCCUUAUACAGUGGGAUAACAGUUAGAAAUGACUGCUAAUACCGCAUAAGCGCACAGUACCGCAUGGUACAGUGUGAAAAACUCCGGUGGUAUAAGAUGGACCCGCGUCUGAUUAGCUAGUUGGUGAGGUAACGGCUCACCAAGGCGACGAUCAGUAGACGACUUGAGAGAGUGAUCGGCCACAUGGGGACUGAGACACGGCCCAAACUCCUACGGGAGGCAGCAGUGGGGAAUAUUGCACAAUGGGGGAAACCCUGAUGCAGCGACGCCGCGUGAGUGAUGAAGUAUUUCGGUAUGUAAAACUCUAUCAGCAGGGAAGAUAAUGACGGUACCUGACUAAGAAGCUCCGGCUAAAUACGUGCCAGCAGCCGCAGUAAAAC